CCAGCAUUGAAAAUAGGCUAUCUCUACACCUACUGGGCUCCUCUGGGAUUUGUCUUGGCUGUUACUAUGACACGGGAAGCAAUUGAUGAAUUUCGGCGUUUUCAGCGUGACAAGGAAGUGAAUUCACAACUAUAUAGCAAGCUUACAGUAAGAGGUAAAGUGCAAGUUAAGAGUUCAGACAUACAAGUUGGAGACCUCAUCAUAGUGGAAAAGAAUCAAAGAAUUCCAUCGGACAUGGUGUUUCUUAGGACUUCAGAAAAAGCAGUAUCAAACAAUCUUGAUUACUGCAGCCAUCUGGUUCGUGUUUUAUUCGAACUGAUCAACUAGAUGGUGAAACUGACUGGAAGCUGAAGGUGGCAGUGAGCUGCACGCAACGGCUGCCGGCUCUGGGGGACCUUUUUUCUAUCAGUGCUUAUGUUUAUGCUCAGAAACCACAAAUGGACAUUCACAGUUUCGAAGGCACAUUUACCAGGGAAGACAGUGACCCGCCCAUUCAUGAAAGUCUCAGCAUAGAAAAUACAUUGUGGGCAAGCACCAUUGUUGCAUCAGGUACUGUAAUAGGUGUUGUCAUUUAUACCGGAAAAGAGACUCGAAGUGUAAUGAACACAUCCAAUCCAAAAAAUAAGGUUGGUUUGUUGGACCUUGAACUCAAUCGGCUGACGAAAGCGCUAUUUUUGGCUUUAGUUGCUCUUUCCAUUGUUAUGGUAACCUUACAAGGAUUUGUGGGUCCAUGGUACCGCAAUCUUUUUCGGUUCCUUCUCCUCUUUUCUUACAUCAUUCCCAUAAGUUUGCGUGUGAACUUGGACAUGGGCAAAGCGGUGUAUGGAUGGAUGAUGAUGAAAGAUGAGAACAUCCCUGGCACGGUCGUUCGGACCAGCACUAUCCCAGAAGAACUUGGGCGCCUGGUGUAUUUAUUGACAGACAAAACAGGAACCCUCACCCAGAAUGAAAUGAUAUUUAAGCGGCUGCACCUGGGCACCGUGUCCUAUGGCGCCGACACGAUGGAUGAGAUCCAGAGCCAUGUCAGGGACUCCUACUCACAGAUGCAGUCUCAAGCUGGUGGAAACAAUACUGGUUCAACUCCACUAAGAAAAGCCCAAUCUUCAGCUCCCAAAGUUAGGAAAAGUGUCAGUAGUCGAAUCCAUGAAGCCGUGAAAGCCAUCGUGCUGUGUCACAACGUGACCCCCGUGUAUGAGUCUCGGGCCGGCGUUACUGAGGAGACUGAGUUUGCAGAGGCUGAUCAAGACUUCAGUGAUGAGAAUCGCACCUACCAGGCUUCCAGCCCGGAUGAGGUCGCUCUGGUGCAGUGGACAGAGAGUGUGGGCCUCACGCUGGUCAGCAGGGACCUCACCUCCAUGCAGCUGAAGACCCCCAGUGGCCAGGUCCUCAGCUUCUGCAUUCUGCAGCUGUUUCCCUUCACCUCCGAGAGCAAGCGGAUGGGCGUCAUCGUCAGGGAUGAAUCCACGGCAGAAAUCACAUUCUACAUGAAGGGCGCUGACGUGGCCAUGUCUCCUAUCGUGCAGUAUAAUGACUGGCUGGAAGAGGAGUGCGGAAACAUGGCUCGCGAAGGACUGCGGACCCUCGUGGUUGCAAAGAAGGCGUUGACAGAGGAGCAGUACCAGGACUUUGAGAGCCGAUACACUCAAGCCAAGCUGAGCAUGCACGACAGGUCCCUCAAGGUGGCCGCGGUAGUCGAGAGCCUGGAGAGGGAGAUGGAACUGCUGUGCCUCACCGGCGUGGAGGACCAGCUGCAGGCAGACGUGCGGCCCACGCUGGAGAUGCUGCGCAACGCCGGGAUCAAGAUAUGGAUGCUAACAGGCGAUAAACUCGAGACAGCUACCUGCAUUGCCAAAAGUUCACAUCUGGUGUCUAGAACACAAGAUAUUCAUAUUUUCAGACAGGUAACCAGUCGGGGAGAGGCACAUUUGGAGCUGAAUGCAUUUCGAAGGAAGCAUGAUUGUGCACUAGUCAUAUCUGGGGACUCUCUGGAGGUUUGUCUAAAGUACUACGAGCAUGAAUUUGUGGAGCUGGCCUGCCAGUGCCCUGCCGUGGUUUGCUGCCGCUGCUCGCCCACCCAGAAGGCCCGCAUUGUGACACUGCUGCAGCAGCACACAGGGAGACGCACCUGCGCCAUCGGUGAUGGAGGAAAUGAUGUCAGCAUGAUUCAGGCAGCAGACUGUGGGAUUGGGAUUGAGGGAAAGGAGGGUAAACAGGCCUCGCUGGCGGCCGACUUCUCCAUCACGCAGUUCCGGCACAUAGGCAGGCUGCUCAUGGUGCACGGGCGGAACAGCUACAAGAGGUCGGCGGCACUCGGCCAGUUUGUCAUGCACAGGGGCCUUAUCAUCUCCACCAUGCAGGCUGUGUUUUCCUCAGUCUUCUACUUCGCAUCCGUCCCUUUGUAUCAGGGCUUCCUCAUGGUGGGGUAUGCCACCAUAUACACCAUGUUCCCAGUGUUCUCCUUAGUGCUGGACCAGGACGUGAAGCCAGAGAUGGCGAUGCUCUACCCGGAGCUGUACAAGGACCUCACCAAGGUACGGGCCUCAGGCAGGCUGUCUGCCUCACGACUAGCACCCACAUCUAGCAUUUUACACGAGUGAGAAACAGGCCAGUCAGGAGGCAUUUCCAGGCAUUUUGUGAAAAACGAUUCUCUGUCCUUGAAGAUGUUUUUUAUGUCUCCUAAUUGUUGUUGGCAUUUUCUCUUUGAGUUAAACUUCAAAAGGGGAAAAAUAUCUCAGGGAAAAAAAUUUCUCAAAUGUUUGCAAUAAAGCUCUAAUAUCAUACAUACAAUUAGAAUUGUAAAAGAUGUUCUAACCAUUUGUGGAACUUUUGUGAAGUGAGCUCACCAAAUGUCAGAGAAGAUCUCACUGUGUAAUUUCUGUAGAAAGGCUCCCCCGGACAGCGUCACUGCACCUGCUGCAGAAAUAGCAUUCCAAAGCUGGGGAACCCAUGGGCUGCAUGUUUCCUGUGUAUUUCCAAGUUUGUCAGUAGUUGUGGAUUUCAGAAUUAUCCCUGAAAAGUGAUAACAUGUGUCUGUCCCUAGGGUCCAUAGACUAUUUUUGCAGUGAUGUCACCAAGAAAAAAAUCCACCCCAGAAAACUUCAGUCACCUGAAACUCUGAGAAAGAUGGAUUUAUUUGGCUUAAAACUGUGCUCUGUUAGGAUUAAAGGAGGCUUUGAAUUUAUCAUAUUCUUUACGACAGCAUAUUUUAUAGCAUAGAACAUGUAAGGAUACGGGGUAGAAGAGAGGCUCAGCUCUGCAGACACAAAUCAUGGUAACUCUGGUAUUUUCCACAAAGCUAGCUGUUUUGAACCAACGUUGAAAACAAAAUCCACUAACCGCAAUUAAAUUUAGAUUUACAAUCGAUAAAUGACAGGUGUCUGAAAUUAUCAACUCAGAUUUUUAAAGCAGUAGCUGUAUGGUAAAGAAAGAAUUAGAUUAGGCAUUAAAAAAGAAAGCUAAUGACUACCUAGCAAACAGAUUCUAGUCCAGCUAACCACUAAUUAACCAACUAGAUUCUUACCUAGCUAACCACAAACUGAGAAACUAGACUCCUGUCUAACUAGUAACUAACAAACGAUACUCUGUCUAAUACAGCUAACCACUAACAAGCUAGACUCUUAUCCAGCUAACCACUGACAAACUAGACUCUAGUCCAGCUAUAACCACUCAUUAGCCAGAGAGGUGCUGGGUAAGUCAUGUUAACUUUUUGAUUUCUUGAUGUUAUUGAAAUGGUCUAAUGAAAUAAAGACUUUAAAGUUUCUUGAAAAAAAUAAAGAAUUCUCAUUACUGUUAUAAUCAAGACAAAUAAAGCUAGUUCACCAGUAUCACAUGAAAUAUAAAUACCAAGCAUUAUUAUCAUGGUGGCAUCAUCGUGACUACUGGGAAACAUCGUCCCAGGUCACACCUACUAUAACUAGAAGCAAGACCGCUUAAGUAUCUUAAACUGAUGAAACCAUUGUGAUAAAGUACAGCAGAGUAAGGAGCAAAGAUCCAAAAACUUCGGGAAGCUAGUGUGAAUAAUGAUCAUUUUAGUAGCAUAUGCAUUUCCUCAUUCCCAGAGACUCUAAAAAUGUUUACCUAAAUGCUGCCUUACAAACAUACGGGAACAAGCUUUUCAUGUACGAACGUAAACCUCGAUGCGCUACCCUCAACCCUAGGAAACCGGCACGCAAGCAGGGCAGAGGUCACCAGGGGUCUUGUAGCCCCAGCCGGUGCUCCCGGAUCACUGUGCUGGGAGAAACUUGUCAUAGGACUGUCAUGCCACAGCCAUCUUGACCGGCUAUUGGAGUGGGGCAGUAACACGUUUUUACUGUUUUCAAGGAUUUAGAUUGUACCCACCAGUCUCUUUCUUUGUGGAUAUCUAGAUGGCUCUAGUAACAAGAGGUUCAUAGGGCCACAGGUGUCUGACGGAGCAGCUAAUUAUCCGUAACUGUGGCCAUGGAAUCCGUAAGUUCUGUGUUACUGGUGCCGUUGAACCCUGUUCACUUCUGAUUGUGUUGGAUCUCAUUAAGGGUAUUAAAUUUCCGUUUUUGUUAAGGUGAGCAACAAUUUAGAAUGUUUUAGUAUCCUAAAGUCAGGUCACCAUCCCUACAUUUUUUUUUUUUUUUUUUUGGUCAAGAAUGCAGUCACUCAUUUUCUCUAAGCUUCUUUUCUUCAACAUCUUAUCUGCAUUGUAACUUUUUUAAAAAUCUACUACACUUCAAAUUCUUUGAAAAGAAAAUAGCACUAAAGUACUGAGCCACUAAAGUUAAUUUAGUUAUUUUUUCUUAUUGAAGCUAAAGAACUAUUUUGAAGCUUUCUGUUCCUUCUGAACAGUUCGCCAAGGUAGCGCAGACUGCAGCACUCUGCGUUGUUGUCUGAUGAUCGGGGCAGCUGGAGACUGGAUGUGCCAACGCAGUUUAUCCACACCGGUCAGUGUCAGUGGACACCAAGUCCCCAGUCCGUCGGCUCAAGCUCCUGCGAUGUAGGACAACAUAGCCCUGCUCUCAACAAGUCUGUAUUCUAGUCAGGAUGAGAAAGCAGUGAAUCAGUGGCAUAGAGCAACAGCAUAAAGGGCCGCGGCCUGCAGUGUGAGUAACAACAGCAUAAAGGGCCACAGCCUGCAGUGUGAGUAACAACAGCAUAAAGGGCCGCGGACUGAAAUGUGAGUGGCUGACUGGUGAGUGCCGGUCCAGUCAGUUCUGAGUCACAUAUCUCAGGUCACCGUAAAUUUAUAAAAUACCUUCAGAGGCGAGCCAGGGAGGCAAGGCAUGCAUUCCCUGCACACAGGAGAAGACUCAAUUGGAAAGAAAAUCUCUUUUUUAUGUGUAUUUGAUAACCAGUCUUUAUAAUCUAAAAGUACAAAUAAGGCACGCAUUAUAAAUCUCACUUAUUGUCCUAAUGAGUUAGCCAACCUCAAGUAUAAACAUUUGUCCCCUGCUGUGUCUCGAUGGCCUGAGCCACGCGUCGACACAGUAUCUGUUAAGUAAGUAUUUGAUAAACAAAUGAGGCAGUGAAUGAAUCAGUUAAACCAAGAGUCAGGAUUUCCUUCGCUUUCCUAAAACUAUGUAGCUUUUAUUCUUUACAGAAAAUGGUAUAUUUGCAACACUAUUUUGUUGUUCUUUUGAAGCUCAAAUUCUGCUUUGAAUUAUUAAACUUUACUCACGAUGAGUUCAGGCACUUAAUUUUCUGGAUGCCAGUAAGACGGGAAACUGACCUACUCAUCUCUCUCCUAACUCUGCACAUGUCUUCAUUCAUUCUGAAUGGUGUGUAACCGCUUAGAGAAGCUAGUUACUCCAAGAUCCAGGCAUCAGGACUAGUAAGGUGACCCUGGUUAACUGAGCCAGCUCACGUGGUCCCAAAAUAUCUCAGACUGUGGCUGUGAAUUUUGUUACCAAUUCAUAAUCUUACAUUACCAGCUAACUCCAGAGACAUUUGAUUUGUAGUUGUGCUAAUUGUAAAGAUAUCAAGUAGGUAAUAUACAGUUCUUCAUGAAAUCUUUGGUGCCAUUAGGUAUUGAACCAUUCGGACCCCUUCACUAUUUUUUAUUUUCUGUAGAAUACUCUCAAAUGGUUUUAUCUUUUGAAAUGUAUAUUUGUAUACUUAUAUUCUUUUCAAAAUAAUAGUGAAUAAGACAAUAAAAGGAAAUUUAAAACAUUGAGAUUAGGAAGGAGGAAAUAAAAAUAUCUCUGUUUGUGGAUGCUAUAAUUUUCUAUGUAGAAAAUUCCAAGGAAUCCACACACAUACAACCUCCUAUACUUGUAAACUUCAUAAAGUUUCAGGAUACAAGGAAUAAUUUUUCAAAAUCAUUUUGAUUCUGUACACUAGCAAUGAAUAAUUGGGGUUUGAAAAAAUUUGUAAACAUUUAUAAUAAUACAUUUAAGCAUUUAUAAUAAUACAAGAAAGUGAGACAUGAAGUGUACCUCUAACAAAAUACACGCAAGAUCUGUGUGCUGGAAACCAACAACACUGAGGAAAGAAACUGUAAAAGGCGUAAACAGAUGUUCCUGGAUUGAGAGACGUAAACAGAUGUUCCUGGAAUGGGAGGCAUAAACAGAUGUUCAUGGAUUGAGAGGCGUAAACAGAUGUUCCUGGAUUGAGAGAUGUAAAUACAUCGCUUCUCGGCCUUUUGGCUAAGAUCAAGUGUAGAGAGGCGUAAAUAGAUGUUCCUGGAUUGAGAGACAUAAACAGAUAUUCCUGGAUUCGGAGGCAUAAACAGAUGUUCAUGGAUUGAGAGGCGUAAACCCAUAUUCCUGGAUUGAGAGGCGUAAGCAGAUGUUUAUGGUUUGAGAGGCGUAAACAGAUGUUCCUGGAUUGAGAGGCGUAAACCCAUAUUCCUGGAUUGGGAGGCGUAAACAGAUGUUCAUGGAUUGAGAGGCAUAAACAGAUGUUCCUGGAUUGAGAGACGUAAACAGAUGUUCAUGGAAUGGGAGGCGUAAACAGAUGUUCCUGGAAUGGGAGGCGUAAACAGAUGUUCCUGGAAUGAGAGGCGUAAACAGAUGUUCCUGGGUUGGGAGGCGUAAACAGAUGUUCCUGGAUUGAGCCUCAAUUAGAUGUUCAUGGAUUGAGAGCCUCAGUGUUGCUUCACAUUGACAAGCUCACUCUAGAAUUUAUAUGGAAAGGCAAGGGAACUCGAAUUGCCAAAAUAAUUUAGAAA
rnacentral:sRNA from 1 species